AGUGAACGCUGGCGGUAGGCCUAACACAUGCCAGUCGAACGGCAGCACAGUAAGAGCUUGCUCUUACGGGUGGCGAGUGGCGGACGGGUGAGGAAUACAUCGGAAUCUACUUUUUCGUGGGGGAUAACGUAGGGAAACUUACGCUAAUACCGCAUACGACCUACGGGUGAAAGCAGGGGAUCUUCGGACCUUGCGCGAUUGAAUGAGCCAAUGUCGGAUUAGCUAGUUGGCGGGGUAAAGGCCCACCAAGGCGACGAUCCGUAGCUGGUCUGAGAGGAUGAUCAGCCACACUGGAACUGAGACACGGUCCAGACUCCUACGGGAGGCAGCUGUGGGGAAUAUUGGACAAUGGGCGCAAGCCUGAUCCAGCCAUACCGCGUGGGUGAAGAAGGCCUUCGGGUUGUAAAGCCCUUUUGUUGGGAAAGAAAAGCAGCAGGUUAAUACCCCGCUGUUCUGACGGUACCCAAAGAAUAAGCACCGGCUAACUUCGUG
rnacentral:rRNA from 1 species